GCCGUGUGGAGACUCUGAGGAGGCAGGUUUAGCUUCAGCCUUGUGCUUGGGAGUACAGAGUCAGAGUUUGGAGGUGCAGCUGAGUCUGAAGGACACUGCCGGUCUCCAUCCUUGGGGCGCACAGUGUUCUGUCAUGAGGAUAAUAGGUAGAGACGAGUGUGCCCAUAGUCCCGUGUGGACUUAGGAGUUAGUAGUGACAGCAGCAGGUGGAAUUAAGACCCUUGGUUGUUAAAAGAGUGGGAAGGAUGGUGGGAAGCCAAGGGCCAAAGCCAGCCUAGGGGGGUGCAGGGAGGGUCCCAGGGAAAUGGGGAGGGGUGAAGACCCAAGGAGGUUGAAGGGAAGGUGGUGCAGCAAUGUGAGA
rnacentral:sRNA from 1 species